UCCGGCGUCCUCCUUGUGGCGGUGGUUUUGGGUGUUGCUGGGUAUGUUCCGGCACCGUCAGCCGGGAUCGGGACUCUGGUGACGGGACCGAGAAGGCUUAGUAAGGAGAGGCGCUGUCCCCGCCGUACAGACGGGUCCAUGGCUGGCGAUGCCGCCCGGGCUGCCCGGGGCCGGGACAGGGACCGUCGGCCCGGGUGUCCGCUCCGCCCACCGAAUCCGAUGGCGGCCACUGCGCCCACGGACCCGGCUUAGUCUUGUCAACUCUCCAGCCACAUGACCCUUUCGAAGUAUGAAUCAGGGACAAGAUACCCCCUUUGCACACUUGCUUCAGAUGGGACCACAAAAUCUGCUGUUUCAGUGGGGAAUGACACUUGAUUUUAUUUAUUUAUUUGACAGAGAUAGAGACAGCUAGCAAGAGAGGGAACACAAG